AACGAACGCUGGCGGCAGGCCUAACACAUGCAAGUCGAACGCUCGUAGCAAUACGAGAGUGGCAGACGGGUGAGUAACACGUGGGAACCUUCCCUAUGGUUCGGAAUAGCUCAGGGAAACUUGAGGUAAUACCGGAUAAGCCCUUCGGGGGAAAGGAUUUAUCGCCAUUGGAUGGGCCCGCGUCGGAUUAGCUAGUUGGUGAGGUAACGGCUCACCAAGGCAACGAUCCGUAGCUGGUCUGAGAGGAUGAUCAGCCACACUGGGACUGAGACACGGCCCAGACUCCUACGGGAGGCAGCAGUGGGGAAUAUUGGACAAUGGGCGCAAGCCUGAUCCA
rnacentral:rRNA from 1 species